rnacentral:misc_RNA from 1 species
AAGUUGUUAAAUUCUUCAAUGAUGCUGUCAAAGAUAUUAUUUUCAAACUUUCAAAUAAUUAUCUAACAAAGGUGUUCGAGGAUGUGAAUGAAUAUCAUCGAGACAAAUGGCAUAUUAGAUGGGCAAAAUUCAAGUACACUUACUUUGACAGCCCUUGGAUAUUCAUGUCAGCUUUAACCGCUCUCAUUCUCCUUAUUCUCACCUUUAUUCAAGCCUUCUUUGCUGUCUAUGGGUAUGUAAAUCCUCCUCAAUAAGUAAUUAGCAAUUUGUGAACAGCAAGUGUAACAAUAAAAUGUCAAGCUUUAACUUAUUCUUCAAGACUGCGAAGUCUUGAGUUAAAGUCCCAAUAUUAAUCAAGAUUGUACCAAAAAAAAUGUCCUUUUCAAUUGAAAUGUUGUCUACUAGAA